rnacentral:rRNA from 1 species
GUAACGCGUACGAAACCUACCUUUAAGAGAGGGAUAGCCCUGGGAAACUGGGAGUAAUACCUCAUAGUAUUCAUUGACUGCAUGGUUGAUGGAUUAAAGCUGCGGCGCUUAAAGAUGGUCGUGCGUCUGAUUAGCUAGUUGGUAGGGUAACGGCCUACCAAGGCUACGAUCAGUAGGGGGCGUGAGAGCGUGGCCCCCCACACGGGUACUGAGACACGGACCCGACUCCUACGGGAGGCAGCAGUAAGGAAUAUUGGGCAAUGGACGCAAGUCUGACCCAGCCAUCCCGCGUGCAGGACGAAUGCCCUAUGGGUUGUAAACUGCUUUUGUUUGGGAAGAAAUGUAUUCUUUUAAGAGUAUUUGACGGUACCAGACGAAUAAGCACCGGCUAACUCCGUGCCAGCAGCCGCGGUAAUACGGAGGGUGCAAGCGUUAUCCGGAAUCACUGGGUUUAAAGGGUGCGUAGGCGGCCAGAUAAGUCAGAGGUGAAAGUUUCCGGCUCAACCGGGAGAUUGCCUUUGAUACUGUUUGGCUUGAAUCAGAUUGAGGUUGGCGGAAUGUGACAUGUAGCGGUGAAAUGCAUAGAUAUGUCAUAGAACAUCGAUUGCGAAGGCAGCUGGCUGGAUCUGUAUUGACGCUGAGGCA